AAAUCCUAUUAAAACUAUUUGUAAUCACCAUGAAAAGAUCUUCUUGGAUAGAUUUGAGUCAUUGUAUGUUGGAAGCUUUUGUUGCGAUCCUUUUAACAAACACAAAAUUAAAAUUAAAAAAUCUGUCAGAGUAAUCAGUGCUGCUGUUGCAAAGGAAUUUGAUUUAAUACCUGGUUAUAAGCUUUGUACAGAAUGUCGUAAAAUAUUGCACUUAAGAAAACAAGAACAU